GAUGAACGCUGGCGGCAUGCCUAAGACAUGCAAGUCGAACGAAGUGGCCCAAUGAAAAUUGCGUGCUUGCACAAAAUUGGAUUUGGAUUUUCCACUUAGUGGCAGACGGGUGAGUAAUGCACAGGUAACCUACCCUAAGGACUGGGACAACUAUUGGAAACGAUAGCUAAUACCGGAUGAUUCAUAGAUAGAUAACUAUUUAUGCUAAAAGGAGCUUCGGCUUCACCUCAGGAUGGGCUUGUGUUGUAUUAGUUAGUUGGUGAGGUAAUGGCCCACCAAGACUACGAUGCAUAUCCGAGCUGAGAGGCUGAUCGGACACAUUGGAACUGAGAUACGGUCCAA
rnacentral:rRNA from 1 species